CCAAAAGCCAGAGAGAUGGAGGUGACAUUAUCUUCCCUGACUUGGCUAAGCUGAACUUGAGCCAUAUGCUAAAUCCCUGAUUUAACUCAGAAGAUAUUGGUGACGUAAGAGCAAUGCAAUGACGUUCAACACUAUUUCCACAUCAGAAGUGGGCUUUGAUGAGAGAUGAGACGCUUCCUUCAUCAAUAAAAGAAACCUAUUUGGACAUUAAUGAAGAGAGCCGGAUAGAAAGAAAAGGCUGAAGAAGGAAAUGAAAUGCGAUCAGUGAAA